AGAGUUUGAUCAUGGCUCAGGAUGAACGCUAGCGGCAGGCCUAAUACAUGCAAGUCGAACGGUGUAGCAAUACAUAGUGGCGCACGGGUGCGUAACACGUAGGUAACCUACCUUUUACUGGGGCAUAACGAUGGGAAACCAUCGCUAAUUCCGCAUGAGAUCACCAUCCGGCAUCGGGUAGUGAUGAAAGAUUGAUUGGUAAAAGAUGGGCCUGCGGCUGAUUAGCUAGUUGGCGGUGUAACGGACCACCAAGGCCAUGAUCAGUAGGGGUUCUGAGAGGAAGAUCCCCCACACUGGCACUGAGAUACGGGCCAGACUCCUACGGGAGGCAGCAGUGGGGAAUUUUCCGCAAUGGGCGCAAGCCUGACGGAGCAAUACCGCGUGGGGGAGGAAGGCUCUUGGGUCGUAAACCUCUUUUCUCAGGGAAGAACACAAUGACGGUACCUGAGGAAUCAGCAUCGGCUAACUCCGUGCCAGCAGCCGCGGUAAUACGGAGGAUGCAAGCGUUAUCCGGAAUGAUUGGGCGUAAAGGGUCUAUAGGUGGUUGUUCAAGUCUGCUGUUAAAGCGUCUGGCUUAACCAGAUAAAGGCGGUGGAAACUGAACGACUAGAGUGCGGUAGGGGUAGAGGGAAUUCCCAGUGUAGCGGUGAAAUGCGUAGAUAUUGGGAAGAACACCUGUGGCGAAAGCGCUCUACUGGACCGCGACUGACACUGAUGGACGAAAGCUAGGGGAGCGAAUGGGAUUAGAUACCCCCGUAGUCC
rnacentral:rRNA from 1 species